rnacentral:rRNA from 2 species
UACUUAGUGGCAGACGGGUGAGUAACAUGUAGGUAUCUGCCCUUUGGCCUGGAAUAACACGAGGAAACUUGUGCUAAUACCGGAUAAGUCUUUACGGAGAAAGCUUUAUGCACCAUUGGAUGAGCCUGCACUUGAUUAGUUUGUUGGUGGGGUAAUGGCCUACCAAGACUGUGAUCAAUAGCUGAUUUGAGAGGAUGAUCAGCCACAUUGGGACUGAGACACGGCCCAAACUCCUACGGGAGGCAGCAGUGGGGAAUCUUGCACAAUGGAGGAAACUCUGAUGCAGCGAUGCCGCGUGAGUGAAGAAGGCCUUUGGGUUGUAAAGCUCUUUCGUCGGGGAAGAAAAUGACUGUACCCGAAUAAGAAGGUCCGGCUAACUUCGUGCCAGCAGCCGCGGUAAUACGAAGGGACCUAGCGUAGUUCGGAAUUACUGGGCUUAAAGAGUUCGUAGGUGGUUGAAAAAGUUAGUGGUGAAAUCCCAGAGCUUAACUCUGGAACUGCCAUUAAAACUUUUCAGCUAGAGUAUGAUAGAGGAAAGCAGAAUUUCUAGUGUAGAGGUGAAAUUCGUAGAUAUUAGAAAGAAUACCAAUUGCGAAGGCAGCUUUCUGGAUCAUUACUGACACUGAGGAACGAAAGCAUGGGUAGCGAAGAGGAUUAGAUACCCUCGUAGUCCAUGCCGUAAACGAUGUGUGUUAGACGUUGGAAAUUUA